UACGAAGGGGGCUAGCGUUGCUCGGAAUCACUGGGCGUAAAGCGCACGUAGGCGGACUCUUAAGUCGGUGGUGAAAUCCUGGAGCUCAACUCCAGAACUGCCUUUGAUACUGGCAAUCUCGAGUCCGGAAGAGGUGAGUGGAACUCCUAGUGUAGAGGUGGAAUUCGUAGAUAUUAGGAAGAACACCAGUGGCGAAGGCGGCUCACUGGUCCGGUACUGACGCUGAGGUGCGAAAGCGUGGGGAGCAAACAGG
rnacentral:rRNA from 1 species